CCCCUCCUGUCAAGAGGCGCACUGACUCUCGAGGAUUCACCGGCGCGUUUCUUCGCCAAGGAUCUCUCCGGUCUUCAUCACCAUCACUCUCUGGCCUCUUACGAUCCCACGAAGUUCAGAGAAAAGCCUCUCCUCAUAUCAAGUGUUAUCUCGAGAUCCCGCGGGUCACUUCUCUCUCUUGGUCGGUCUCUCACUGCGGGACGCGGCGGAGGGGGGAGGCCGGGGCCGCGCGGAGCAAGACGCCAAACAGACCAAGAGGAAAUGAAGACUCCGACGUGUGGGUAGUCCUGUAUGAACAGGCGUAGGCUCACAACAAGAAUUGGCACUUUGGAGGUGAAGUCCAUGCAGAAUGUGUCCAUCCAUCACGCCGGCUGUGUUUCCACCGCAGUGUUACUGACGCUGUAAAUCACAGGAGGCGCACGUCCGGUCGCUGACAGAUCGGACGCAAUCGACAGCAAACUUAUAAUCGCAGCUCUGUCAUAGUGGAGCAAUCACACUGGACUGAAGCAAGACUUCGAAACAGAAACAAAAAAACCUACAGAGGAAGAGGAACGUGAGAUGCCCGCCAGGAGGAGGAGGAGGAGGAGAGGAAGAAAUCGCAUGUUGCCAAAAACACAUUAAUCCUGAGGUUUCAAUUUGCACGUGAGUUCUAUUAAUAGGUCUCCUCCUGUCUAACCGAAAUGUGGUGGGUUAAUAAACAUGGGAAUAUUCACAUAUAGUAUUUUGUUUAUUACAAACCAUAUCUAUAGUUCAUUCAGGCCUCGUGAGAUGGCUUUCUGGGAACGCGUGAAGCUCACUCCUGCGUUACAGCAAAACUCCUGAAAAAUAAAUAUUCAGUAUGUGAAGAUGAAAACAAUAAGACACAGCAACCAUCAUACAACUGGGACGUUAAAACUUCUCACAGAUGAACCAAACAAGACAAACAUACAGAUUGAGACACAUUCUUCUUCACAUUCUUUUUUCUCUGUUAUAACCCGGUGCCCACAUUACCCACAAUGCAACCUGGGUGCAGACGGUUCAGUGGUGAGAUUUGCCCAUGUAACGCUUUUAGCAGCUAACGUAGCCUCAGGUGGGAUAAAGAGUUCCACACUCCAUAUUAUUUCUGGGGGGUUUUUUAUGUUCAAAAUUGUAGUUUUUAACCCCGAGGAACUCGGACGUAAGAAGCGUCACUUGAGUCUGUUAAUCCGAUUUGAUGCAUCUGCCUUUACAGACUCUGUACAACCUCUUUCACAUUUGCCGCGGAGCUCCCGAGGCCUAUAAACCCUGUGUUCCCCUUUUAAUGAGCGCCGAUAUAAUGCAUCAUUAAGUAUCAUGUGUCAUAUAUGACAGACACCAAGCCACGUUUUUAUAUGGACAACGAUCUUGACCCCCGUCUGUCCGUUUUAUCGACGCGGACACGCUGCUGAACAUGCACACACACACACACACCAUGAAGAAAUACAUACAUACAUGUACCUUCCUCUACAUUUGGUCUCUUGAACUCGGUGGCGACCCGAGGAUCAUUAUCUUCCCAUGAGCCUCCUGUGAAAAAUGACAAAGUGCAACGAGGACCUGGCUGGGGGGGGGGGGGCGGGGGGUUUAGGGUGGUGUCAGGAAGAGGGGGGGUCACUGUGAUACGCAUCAGCCUUUGAUUAACGAGGUGAGCUGGGUGCUCUUUAAAAUCACAGGGGUCACAGCUUAGGAGGCCUCCAUCAAACACUUCGCCACACUUCACAGGACCAACUUCUUCCUAUUAUUGGACACGCCCCCUUUCUCCCUCUCUUUUAUCCCGGCCCGCUCCCCCCCCCCCCCCCCCCUCUGAGGGAGAGGGGUCUAUCAGAGAGAUGAAAAAUGGCGUGCAGCUGGCCGAGCACUUCCUUCCCCUUGUCGGGGGUCAACAGUUCACUAUGCUGAUAGAGACCCUCACACCUCCAUUAAUAAGAGCUCCCCCCUGCACUCACACAGGUCGCUCCGCUGCAUCGCUGGGCGGGCGGCCAUCACUCCUACCUUUGUCCGGAUGUCCCGCCAUCACAUUCCUCCGUCGCUGCAUAACUGAUUUUUUUCUUUCUUUCUGUUUUUUUCUGGUGAUGACUGACAGCCGGUUUUGUUUUUUGCUGCUGGCCUGCACCUGUAGUAGUUCAACAGUGAACACGGGACCUAUGUUUUUACAUUUGUUUGUUAUUUUGUCAGUUCUGUCAGCACGUUUAUAGGAAAAGCCUUUAUGCAAAAAGAAUUUCACAUGUUAAAGUUUUGGGCUGGAAGACAGUCCGUCCAAAAAUAAAAGCCACCACAAUGAGCAUGCUCAUGACUUUUGAAUGAUAUGAA